rnacentral:piRNA from 1 species
UCUCUUCUCAGAGCUGCUGUCCAAACUGC